ACGGCACCGCCGCUCCUGGGACACGAACAGCUAUCACGAGCAGCCUGCAGAAGGUAGCCGAUGCGCAAAUGACGCACAGAGAGCCUCUGACACACGCUCUGUAUUUUGAUUGUGAAAGGAGUAAAUGGUAAUUGCAGGGAAAGUUUUGAAACGGUCCUAAACAAUUUAAGCUGUUUUGAGAAGAUUGCAGAUGAGUAUCUACAGAUCUGAAUUUAGAUUGCAGUUAACAAGAACAGGAACCAAAACCAGAUCGAGGUGGAGAGUUUUGCCUGGGAGAUAGAAGCCAGCAGAAUUAUGACCUCAAUCAACUCCACAGUAUGCACCUGCAGGGGCGGAUAAACAGAAAGACCUAUUGGUACCUCUCUACCAUCAGAGCACAUCCAGACACACAGACUGUCCCAGACACACACACACAAAGUGCAGAAGUGAAGUGGGCACCCCAGACUGUUAUAUUCAGCCCAUUGAAAGCUGCCUGGAGUAUUACACAACCAAAAGCAGGGAUCACGGAGAAAGGAAACAAAAAAAAAAAGA